rnacentral:rRNA from 1 species
UUCAGAUUGUGAGAGCGGGGGACACAAAAGGCCCCGUUCGUCAGAAUGGCGGGCGUCGCAAGACGCUGCGCAGUUUGGCUCUUUCUGGAUCAAAUCAAGCGCGAUAAGGGCGUUUGGUGGAUGCCUUGGCAGUAAGAGGCGAUGAAGGACGUGAUACUCUGCGAUAAGCUUGGGGGAGGUGAGAAUAACCUUUGAUCCCAAGAUCUCCGAAUGGGGCAACCCACUUGAUAUUCUGUUGUUGUUGCUUUGCAACAACGCACACUCCGUGCGGACCCUUGGUCCGUGACCAUCUUCGAUGGUCGGGGUUAGCGUUGAGGCUAGGCGAUCAUCAACGGGGUAAAUCAAGUACUUUUAGGCUGAAUACAUAGGCUUAAAAGAGCAAACCCGGGGAACUGAAACAUCUAAGUACCCGGAGGAAAGGAAAUCAAUAGAGACUCCGUUAGUAGUGGCGAGCGAACGCGGACCAGCCGAGCCUUGAGUGUGACUGGAACUGUCUGGAAAGACAGGCCAUAGUGGGUGACAGCCCCGUACAGGAAGCACGAUAGGACGUAUCAAGUAGGGCGGGACACGUGAAAUCCUGUCUGAAGAUCGGGGGACCACCCCCGAAGGCUAAGUACUCCUUACUGACCGAUAGCGAACCAGUACCGUGAGGGAAAGGUGAAAAGCACCCCGACGAGGGGAGUGAAACAGACCUGAAACCGGACGCCUACAAGCAGUUGGAGGGGGCAUGACCCCUGACAGCGUACCUUUUGUAUAAUGGGUCAACGACUUGGUCUAUCUAGCAAGCUUAAGCCGUUAGGUGUAGGCGCAGCGAAAGCGAGUCUUAAAUGGGCGCAUGAGUUAGAUGGAUCAGACCCGAAACCGAGUGAUCUAGGCAUGGUCAGGCUGAAGGUUGGGUAACACCAACUGGAGGGCCGAACCCACAUCCGUUGAAAAGGAUCGGGAUGAACUGUGCCUAGGGGUGAAAGGCCAAUCAAACUCGGAGAUAGCUGGUUCUCCGCGAAAUCUAUUUAGGUAGAGCGUCAUCCGAAUACCCCGGGGGGUAGAGCACUGGAUGGGUAAUGGGGCCCCACAGGCUUACUGAUCCUAACCAAACUCCGAAUACCCGGGAGUAAUAGAUGGCAGACACACGGCGGGUGCUAACGUCCGUCGUGAAGAGGGAAACAACCCUGACCUACAGCUAAGGCCCCUAAUUCAUGGCUAAGUGGGAAAGCAGGUGGGACGACCAAAACAACCAGGAGGUUGGCUUAGAAGCAGCCAUCCUUUAAAGAUAGCGUAACAGCUCACUGGUCUAAUCAAGUUGUCCUGCGGCGAAGAUGUAACGGGGCUCAAGCCAUGAGCCGAAGCUUAGGAUGCGAGCAAUCGCAUGGUAGCGGAGCGUUCUGUUCAGUCCUUCUUGCGUCUUGUGACCCCCCAGGGGGUCAACGGACGCAUCAGAAGGCUGCUGUGAAGCCGGCGCGUGAGCGACCGGUGGAGCGUUCAGAAGUGAGAAUGUUGACAUGAGUAGCGACAAACAGGGUGAGAGACCCUGUCGCCGAAAGUCCAAGGGUUCCUGCUUAAAGCUAAUCUGAGCAGGGUAAGCCGGCCCCUAAGGCGAGGCCGAAAGGCGUAGUCGAUGGGAACCUGGUUAAUAUUCCAGGGCCAGUGGGAAGUGACGGAUCUCGAAGAUUGUUCGCCCUUAUCGGAUUGGGCGGGCCGUUCAGAGGUUCCCGGAAAUAGCCCCACAUCAGACCGUACCCGAAACCGACACAGGUGGACUGGUAGAGAAUACCAAGGCGCUUGAGAGAACCAUGUUUAAGGAACUCGGCAAAAUACCUCCGUAAGUUCGCGAGAAGGAGGCCCCGUCAAGACGCAAGUCCUGGCGGGGGGCACAGACCAGGGGGUGGCGACUGUUUAUUAAAAACACAGGGCUCUGCGAAGUCGUAAGACGACGUAUAGGGUCUGACGCCUGCCCGGUGCCGGAAGGUUAAAAGGAGGGGUGCAAGCUCCGAAUUGAAGCCCCGGUAAACGGCGGCCGUAACUAUAACGGUCCUAAGGUAGCGAAAUUCCUUGUCGGGUAAGUUCCGACCUGCACGAAUGGCGUAACGACUUCCCCGCUGUCUCAAACAUGGACUCAGCGAAAUUGAAUUGCCUGUCAAGAUGCAGGCUUCCCGCGGUUAGACGGAAAGACCCCGUGCACCUUUACUACAGCUUCACACUGGCAUCAGGAUUGCGAUGUGCAGGAUAGGUGGUAGGCUUUGAAACGAGAACGCCAGUUCCCGUGGAGCCAUCCUUGAGAUACCACCCUUCGCACUCUUGAUGUCUAACCGCGGUCCGUUAUCCGGAUCCGGGACCCUGUGUGGCGGGUAGUUUGACUGGGGCGGUCGCCUCCCAAACAGUAACGGAGGCGUGCGAAGGUUGGCUCAGAGCGGUCGGAAAUCGCUCGUUGAGUGCAAUGGCAUAAGCCAGCCUGACUGCAAGACUGACAAGUCGAGCAGAGACGAAAGUCGGCCAUAGUGAUCCGGUGGUCCCGAGUGGAAGGGCCAUCGCUCAACGGAUAAAAGGUACGCCGGGGAUAACAGGCUGAUGAUGCCCAAGAGUCCAUAUCGACGGCAUCGUUUGGCACCUCGAUGUCGGCUCAUCUCAUCCUGGGGCUGGAGUAGGUCCCAAGGGUAUGGCUGUUCGCCAUUUAAAGAGGUACGUGAGCUGGGUUUAGAACGUCGUGAGACAGUUCGGUCCCUAUCUGCCGUGGGUGUUGGAGACUUGAGAGGAGUUGCCCCUAGUACGAGAGGACCGGGGUGAACGAUCCACUGGUGGACCUGUUGUGGCGCCAGCCGCAGUGCAGGGUAGCUAUGAUCGGACAGGAUAACCGCUGAAAGCAUCUAAGCGGGAAGCCCCCCUCAAAACAAGGUCUCCCUUGAGAGCCGUGGUAGACCACCACGUCGAUAGGCCGGAGAUGUAAGCGCAGCAAUGCGUUCAGUUGACCGGUACUAAUGGCUCGAUAGGCUUGAUUU